GACGAACGCUGGCGGCGUGCCUAAUACAUGCAAGUCGAGCGCAGGAAGCUGACGGAACUCUUCGGAGAGAAGGCAGUGGAAUGAGCGGCGGACGGGUGAGUAACACGUAAGGAACCUGCCUCAAGGAUUGGGAUAACUCCGAGAAAUCGGAGCUAAUACCGGAUAGUUCAACGGACCGCAUGGUCCGCUGAUGAAAGGCGCUUCGGCGUCACCUUGAGAUGGCCUUGCGGUGCAUUAGCUAGUUGGUGGGGUAACGGCCCACCAAGGCGACGAUGCAUAGCCGGCCUGGGAGGGUGAUGGGCCACACUGGGACUAAGACACGGCCCAGACUCCUACGGGAGGCAGCAGUAGGGAAUCUUCCACAAUGGACGAAAGUCUGAUGGAGCAACGCCGCGUGAGUGAUGAAGGUUUUCGGAUCGUAAAACUCUGUUGUAAGGGAAGAACACGUACGAGAGGGAAUGCUCGUACCUUGACGGUACCUUACGAGAAAGCCACGGCUAACUACGUGCCAGCCGCCGCCGUAA
rnacentral:rRNA from 1 species